UCUAGAUCUCUUGGGUUACAAUUGAAAGCAACCAGACACUUGAAAUUUAGGGUUUGAUGGUGAUACUAAAAUGGGGGUGAGAGUUGACAAAAGAGAUACUCCUUUGCUUCUCUGAGUCUGUACAAAAAUUUGAAGUUCUGACACCAGGUAUUCGAUUAAAUGCUAACUCGAGAUUCACUAUUAAUUUUAAGGUUCAUGUUGAUUGUGGUUCCUUAUACUUCAAGAUUUGGAGGGUGCCCAUUUGUAUUUUCUUUUGUACGAUGA
rnacentral:lncRNA from 1 species